GGGGCGGGGCCCUGGCUGCCCAGUGGGCCGCUGGCAGACGCGGGAGCCUUGAGGGACGCGGUGCCGGUGGCGACGCAGCGCGGUGUUGCGUCGUUCUUAUCGCAGCGCUACACCGUAGGCUUACAGCUCUCGAGAGAAGAGUGGUCAACAGGAAAGAGUCCUCAAUCACAGGCCCCAACAAGGAAAACUGCGCAGCAUUGCCCGGAAAAAAUAAGCCACUGGUGCAGUUCGGCCAGCGAGAAAUCACCACCACCCGGAACUCCUGCUUUUCUCCAAAGGACUUUGGUUCAAAACAACCCCUCCCAAUUCCCUCCUUCUCCACAAAAUGACGUUCGUCUCCUUUGUUUGAAGGACUUACUGUGGGUGUGCCAUAGUUUGCAUGUCCUAAAUUCCAAUUCUCUGUCAUUCCCAAAUAAACCCAUUUUUGCUGGUAAAAUAA